AAUGAAAAAGAGCACAUACAGUCUACUGAAAUUCAUCUGUUCUUGACCAGUAAUGUUUUAUGUGCACUAGCAACAGUAGUUGAUCGAUAUUCAAAUUGGAAAAAUAACUCAAAGCGAAAUUAUUCUGCUCAAGUCCAGGUCCAUAUUUUUAUCCCUGAACUCUACUAGAGUCGGGUUGCAUGACAGAGUUUAGAGUAAACCCUGCUUAUCUCAUACUGGUUCUUAUCUGUGUGUCUGUAAAAGCAAACUCAGUCUCCUCCUCCUAUAAGUACAUCAUUACUUUAAAGACUGAAGGUCAGUCAGUACAGAAAAUUGCUAAAACUUUGAAUGUGUCCCCAAGUGCAGUCGCAAAAACCAUCAAACGCUACGAUGAAACUGGCUCACAUGAGGACCGCCCCAGGAAAGGAAGACCAAGUGUCACCUCUGCUGCUGAGGAAAAAUUCAUCCGAGUCACCAGCCUCAGAAAUCACAAGUUAACAGCACCUCAGAUUAGAGCCCAAAUAAAUGCCACACAGAGUUCCAGUAGCAGACACAUCUCUACAUCAACUGUUCAGAGGAGACUGCGAAUCAGGCCUUUAUGGUCAAAUAGCUGCUAAGAAACCACGACUAAGAAAAAGCAACAAGCAGAAGAGAUUUGUUUUGGCCAAGAAACCCAAGGAGUGGACAUUAGACCAGUGGAAAUCUGUGCUUUGGUCUGAUGAGUCUAAAUUUGAGAUCUUUGGCUCCUUUGGUCUUUGUGCAAGAAAAGGUCUCUACAUGCAUAGUUCUCACUGUGAAGCAUGGAGGAGGAGGUGUGAUGGUGUGGGGGUGCUUUACUGUUGACACUGUUGGAGAUUUAUUCAAAAUUGAAAGCACACUGAAUCAGCAUGGCUAGCACAGCAUCCUGUGGGAUGAGAUGGACUGCAGAGUGAAGAAAAAAAGGGCCAAUGAGUGCUCAGCAUCUCUGGGAAAUCCUUCAAGCUUGUUGGAAAACCAUUUCAGGUGACGACCUCAUGAAGCUCAUUAAGAGAAUGCCAAGAGUGUGCAAAGGAGUAAUCAAAUCUAAGGGUGGAUAUUUUGAAGAAUCAAACAACUAAAACAUGUUUUGAGUUAUUUCACACUUUUGUCUUUACUACAUAAUUCCACGUGUUCAUUCAGAGUUUUGAUGCCUUCAGUGAGAAUCUACAAUGUAAAUAGUCAUGAAACUGGAGAAAAAACAUUAAAUGAAAUCUUGUAUCUGAGCAGCAGGAUUUUAAAUUCGUUCUGAAUUUAACAGGGAGCCAAUGAAGAGACGCCAAUAUAGGAGGAAUAUGCUCUCUCUUUCUAGUCCCUGUCAGUACUCUUGCUGCAGCAUUUUGGAUUAGCUGAAGGCUUUUCAGGGAGUUUUUAGGACAUCCUGAUAAUAAUGAAUUACAGUAGUCCAUCCUAGAAGUAAUAAAUGCACGAACUAGUUUUUCAGCAUCACUCCGAGACAGGAUAUUUCUAAUUUUAGAGAUGUUGCACAAAUGGAAGAAAGCAGUCUUACAUAUUUGUUUAAUAUGUGCAUUGAAGAACAUAUCCUGGUCAAAAAUGACUCCAAGGUUCCUCACAGUGUUACUGGAGGAUGUCAUCCAGGUCUUUAUGGCUUUAAGAUAUUCCUGCAGUUUAACUAAUUGGUGUGCUUAUCUUGCUUCAUGAUAGAUACUGCAGCACAAUACCUUUAAUACAUACAGCAUGUUUUACAGUUUUUUUAAUUGGUUUGGCGCAGUUUUCACAAGCAAUUGGUACAUUUUCAAAACUCUUCGUACUUAUAUCACAACAGAUCAUCAAAAGUGCACCUUUUUCAAACAUUUCAGCAUAUUUCCAAUUGUGUUAGUACAAUACACAUAAUGACAAAAUAUCCUUUUCACUACACAAAAUAAGUGUUUCAUCUAAAUAAAUGUUUCGUUCACAGUUACUGCCUUUCAUAAUGUUAUCACUAUAAAAUUUUUGAUUUGCAUCUCUUGUCAUUCAGUUUAAUACAUUUGUCUGUCAUUCAAUUCAACUGAUCUUAAUGUUUAAUCAAUGAAUCAUUCAUUAUGACCAUGGACUUUCAACUUGACUGAUUGUUGUCUGAUCAUUUGUAAGUUACACAUUGCUGCAAGAGCUUUCAAUCUAGAAAUACUAAUUGCUAAUUGUUUCCCCCUGAUGAUCACAAUUAGUUACCAUAUAAGUAGAACUGUGUUUGAGAUUUUGCACUGUUCAAAUAUGGAGCAGGAUAGACUCGUAGGGAGAGGAAACCUUCAUUGAAGAGGUGGUGGUGCUCCUCGACAGAGAGGUGGUCUUCAGAGAAAUGUAGGCAGAAGACAACGCACCAUCAUCUCUAAUGAAGUCCGGGCCAUCAUUGUUGACCAUGUGGUUAACAGAGGCUUUACCAUGGCUGAGGCUGCCAGGCUGGUACAGCCUAAUUUACAAAGGUCAACUGUCAGCUCUGUCAUCAGAACUUUUCGCCAAGAAAACCGGUAUGUCUGCUAUAGCAACUUCACGUCUAAAAAAUAGUACCCUAUUGUAUAGGUGAACAACAUGUAAUUGUCAGUUUACAGUAAUGUGAUUUGUAAUACUUCAAUAUUGACAGUAUAUGAUUGUCCUCAGAAUUAACAGGAGACAACCUGGUGGUGGUCGCCCACGUGUUUUGACUGACCAGCAGGAGUUGGCUGUGGUGGAAAUGGUCAGGGCAAGGAAUGACAUACGGCUGUCUGAAAUCAAACAGGCUAUUGAGAACAGCAAUGACACCUUUGCCAAUGUGCCAUCAAUUAGCCUUCCAACGAUUGCCUGGCUUUUGAAGAAGCACCAGGUUUCCAUGAAACAAAUUUACUUGGUUCCUUUUGAGAGGAACAAUGUCCGGGUGAAACAACUGCGUUCAGAAUAUAUUCAGAGGGUGAUGGAGCUGGACGCUGCUGUGAAUCAUCACAAGUGUAUUUUCGUUGAUGAGGCCGGUUUCAAUCUGGCAAAAACUAGACGCAGAGGACGUAACCUUAUUGGACAAAGGGCUACCAUCCAAGUCCCUGGACAACGUGGGGGAAACAUCUCAAUGUGUGCAGCUAUAUCUGAAGAUGGUGUGGUAGGCUGUAGACCAGUUCUAGGGUCAUACAACACUGAACACCUGAUAGUUUUUUUUUUUUUUUAAAUGAACUGGAGCAGGCCUGUCAGGGAGAAGACAUCGUCUGUGUUGUUGUGUGGGACAAUGUCAGCUUCCACCAUGCACAGCUGGUUCAGGAAUGGUUUCAAACACGUCCUCGCUUCAUGACCCUCUAUCUUCCACCAUAUUCCCCUUUCCUCAACCCAAUUGAGGAAUUCUUCUCUACAUGGAGGUGGAAGGUGUAUGAUCGCCAUCCCCAUGAGCAUGUCUCCCUUCUUCAAGCCAUGUGUGAAGCUUGUGGUGAUAUAACUGCUGAGCAAUGUCAAGCCUGGAUUCGUCAUGCCAGGAGAUUUUUCCCACGGUGCCUGAACAACGAAGACAUCCACUGUGAUGUUGAUGAAAAUUUAUGGCCCAAUGUUAAUGACUGGCUUGAUUAAUUGUGUAAAAGUUACACUCAUUCAUCACCAAGGACAAUUUGAAUCGCUUACCUUGUAUUAUUUGCUCCUGAAUGAAAUGAUUGGUAAAAGUACUAAGUUGAAAAAAGAGCUUACUGUUUUGUUUGGGUGAUUAAAGCAAAUGUUC